GAUGAACGCUAGCGGCAGGCUUAAUACAUGCAAGUCGAGGGGCAGCAUGAUUGUAGCAAUACAAUUGAUGGCGACCGGCAAACGGGUGCGGAACACGUACACAACCUUCCAACAAGUGGGGGAUAGCCCAGAGAAAUUUGGAUUAAUACCCCGUAACAUAGCGAUGUGGCAUCACAUUGCUAUUAUAGAUUUUUCGCUUGUUGAUGGGUGUGCGGCUGAUUAGAUGGUUGGCGGGGUAACGGCGCACCAAGUCUACGAUCAGUAGCUGAUGUGAGAGCAUGAUCAGCCACGAGGGCACUGAGACACGGGCCCGACUCCUACGGGAGGCAGCAGUAAGGAAUAUUGGACAAUGGACGCAAGUCUGAUCCAGCCAUGCCGCGUGAAGGAUUAAGGUCCUCUGGAUUGUAAACUUCUUUUAUAAGGGACGAAAAAAGGCUUUUCUAAGUCGUCUGACGGUACCUUAUGAAUAAGCACCGGCUAACUCCGUGCCAGCCGCCGCAGUAACAC
rnacentral:rRNA from 1 species